rnacentral:rRNA from 1 species
GUACAGUCUACGCGGCAGGCUUAACACAUGCAAGUCGAGGGGUAACAUUGUGCUUGCACAGAUGACGACCGGCGCACGGGUGCGUAACGCGUAUAGAAUCUACCUUUUACAGGGGGAUAGCCUUUAGAAAUGAAGAUUAAUAUCCCAUAGUAUUGAGACUUGGCAUCAAGACUUAAUUAAAGAUUUAUCGGUAAAAGAUGACUAUGCGUCCUAUUAGCUAGAUGGUAAGGUAACGGCUUACCAUGGCUACGAUAGGUAGGGGUCCUGAGAGGGAGAUCCCCCACACUGGUACUGAGACACGGACCAGACUCCUACGGGAGGCAGCAGUGAGGAAUAUUGGGCAAUGGAGGAAACUCUGACCCAGCCAUGCCGCGUGCAGGAAGACUGCCCUAUGGGUUGUAAACUGCUUUUAUACAGGAAGAAACACUGGUAUGUAUACCAGCUUGACGGUACUGUAAGAAUAAGGACCGGCUAACUCCGUGCCAGCAGCCGCGGUAAUACGGAGGGUCCGAGCGUUAUCCGGAAUCAUUGGGUUUAAAGGGUCCGCAGGCGGUCAAUUAAGUCAGAGGUGAAAUCCCAUAGCUUAACUAUGGAACUGCCUUUGAUACUGGUUGACUUGAGUCAUAUGGAAGUAGAUAGAAUGUGUAGUGUAGCGGUGAAAUGCAUAGAUAUUACACAGAAUACCGAUUGCGAAGGCAGUCUACUACGUAUGUACUGACGCUCAUGGACGAAAGCGUGGGGAGCGAACAGGAUUAGAUACCCUGGUAGUUCACGCCGUAACGAUGGAUUCUAGUUUGUGGGCNUAAGCUCAGUGACUAAGCGAANGUAA